UCAGUAACGGCGAGUGAAGCGGCAGAGCUCAAAUUUGAAAGCUGGCUCCUUCGGGGUCCGCAUUGUAAUUUGCAGAGGAUGCUUCGGGUGCGGCCCCUGUCUAAGUGCCCUGGAACGGGCCGUCAAAGAGGGUGAGAAUCCCGUCUGGGAUGGGGUGUCCGCGCCCGUGUGAAGCUCCUUCGACGAGUCGAGUUGUUUGGGAAUGCAGCUCUAAAUGGGUGGUAAAUUUCAUCUAAAGCUAAAUACUGGCCGGAGACCGAUAGCGCACAAGUAGAGUGAUCGAAAGAUGAAAAGCACUUUGAAAAGAGAGUUAAAAAGCACGUGAAAUUGUUGAAGGGAAGCGCUUGCGACCAGACUCGCCUCCAGGGUUCAGCCGGCAUUCGUGCCGGUGUACUUCCCUGGGGGCGGGCCAGCGUCGGUUUGGGCGGCCGGUCAAAGGCUCCCGGAAUGUAGUGCCCUCCGGGGCACCUUAUAGCCGGGAGUGCAAUGCGGCCAGCCUGGACCGAGGAACGCGCUUCGGCACGGACGCUGGCAUAAUGGUCGUAAACGACCC
rnacentral:rRNA from 1 species